rnacentral:misc_RNA from 1 species
CGUCGCGCCGUGCCCCCUCCCCGCCUGUGGGAUAGGGGGCAUCGGCGCGGAGACUGGCCUCCCGUGCGCCCCGGCGCGCGGAUGGCCCAAAUGGGAUCCCUCGGUGACGCACGUCGCGGCCAUUUGUGGUUGCUCGGUCGACUCGUGUGCCGCCGUGCUGCGCUGCGUCGCCCGCGAGGGCAUCCGAUCGUACCCUAUGGCGCAUGGCGCCAGCAUCC